GACGUAGGGGGCGAGCGUUGUCCGGAUUUAUUGGGCGUAAAGCGCGCGCAGGCGGCUCGUUAAGUCGGAUGUGAAAACACGAGGCUCAACCUCGUGCCUGCAUUCGAUACUGGCGAGCUCGAGGCAGGUAGGGGAGAUCGGAAUUCCCGGUGUAGCGGUGAAAUGCGCAGAUAUCGGGAGGAACACCGGUGGCGAAGGCGGAUCUCUGGGCCUGUCCUGACGCUCAGGCGCGAAAGCUGGGGGAGCGAACAGG
rnacentral:rRNA from 1 species